AUGAACGCUAGCGACAGGCUUAACACAUGCAAGUCGAGGGGCAGCACAGGUAGCAAUACCGGGUGGCGACCGGCGCACGGGUGAGUAACGCGUAUGCAACUUACCUAUCAGAGGGGGAUAACCCGGCGAAAGUCGGACUAAUACCGCAUGAAGCAGGGGCCCCGCAUGGGGAUAUUUGCUAAAGAUUUAUCGCUGAUAGAUAGGCAUGCGUUCCAUUAGGCAGUUGGCGGGGUAACGGCCCACCAAACCGACGAUGGAUAGGGGUUCUGAGAGGAAGGUCCCCCACAUUGGUACUGAGACACGGACCAAACUCCUACGGGAGGCAGCAGUGAGGAAUAUUGGUCAAUGGGCGCGAGCCUGAACCAGCCAAGUCGCGUGAGGGAUGAAGGUUCUAUGGAUCGUAAACCUCUUUUAUAAGGGAAUAAAGUGCGGGACGUGUCCCGUUUUGUAUGUACCUUAUGAAUAAGGAUCGGCUAACUCCGUGCCAGCAGCCGCGGUAAUACGGAGGAUCCGAGCGUUAUCCGGAUUUAUUGGGUUUAAAGGGUGCGUAGGCGGCCUUUUAAGUCAGCGGUGAAAGUCUGUGGCUCAACCAUAGAAUUGCCGUUGAAACUGGGGGGCUUGAGUAUGUUUGAGGCAGGCGGAAUGCGUGGUGUAGCGGUGAAAUGCUUAGAUAUCACGCAGAACCCCGAUUGCGAAGGCAGCCUGCCAAGCCAUGACUGACGCUGAUGCACGAAAGCGUGGGGAUCAAACAGGAUUAGAUACCCUGGUAGUCCACGCAGUAAACGAUGAUCACUAGCUGUUUGCGAUACAGUGUAAGCGGCACAGCGAAAGCGUUAAGUGAUCCACCUGGGGAGUACGCCGGCAACGGUGAAACUCAAAGGAAUUGACGGGGGCCCGCACAAGCGGAGGAACAUGUGGUUUAAUUCGAUGAUACGCGAGGAACCUUACCCGGGUUUGAACGCAUUCGGACCGAGGUGGAAACACCUUUUCUAGCAAUAGCCGUUUGCGAGGUGCUGCAUGGUUGUCGUCAGCUCGUGCCGUGAGGUGUCGGCUUAAGUGCCAUAACGAGCGCAACCCUUGCCACUAGUUACUAACAGGUAAAGCUGAGGACUCUGGUGGGACUGCCAGCGUAAGCUGCGAGGAAGGCGGGGAUGACGUCAAAUCAGCACGGCCCUUACAUCCGGGGCGACACACGUGUUACAAUGGCGUGGACAAAGGGAUGCCACCUGGCGACAGGGAGCGAAUCCCCAAACCACGUCUCAGUUCGGAUCGGAGUCUGCAACCCGACUCCGUGAAGCUGGAUUCGCUAGUAAUCGCGCAUCAGCCAUGGCGCGGUGAAUACGUUCCCGGGCCUUGUACACACCGCCCGUCAAGCCAUGGGAGCCGGGGGUACCUGAAGUCCGUAACCGCGAGGAUCGGCCUAGGGUAAAACUGGUGACUGGGGCU
rnacentral:rRNA from 1 species